rnacentral:rRNA from 1 species
GACGAACGCUGGCGGCAGGCUUAACACAUGCAAGUCGAACGCCCCGCAAGGGGAGUGGCAGACGGGUGAGUACCGCGUGGGAACAUACCCUUUCCUGCGGAAUAGCUCCGGGAAACUGGAAUUAAUACCGCAUACGCCCUACGGGGGAAAGAUUUAUCGGGGAAGGAUUGGCCCGCGUUGGAUUAGCUAGUUGGUGGGGUAAAGGCCUACCAAGGCGACGAUCCAUAGCUGGUCUGAGAGGAUGAUCAGCCACAUUGGGACUGAGACACGGCCCAAACUCCUACGGGAGGCAGCAGUGGGGAAUAUUGGACAAUGGGCGCAAGCCUGAUCCAGCCAUGCCGCGUGAGUGAUGAAGGCCUUAGGGUUGUAAAGCUCUUUCACCGAUGAAGAUAAUGACGGUAGUCGGAGAAGAAGCCCCGGCUAACUUCGUG